GACGAACCGUGCGAACGUUGUUCGGAAUCACUGGGCUUAAAGGGCGCGUAGGCGGGUUCGCAAGUCUGUGGUGAAAGCCCCCAGCUUAACUGGGGAAGUGCCGUGGAUACUGCGAAUCUUGAGGAGGGUAGGGGCGUCUGGAACGGUCGGUGGAGCGGUGAAAUGCGUUGAUAUCGACCGGAACUCCGGUGGCGAAAGCGGCGUGCUGGACCUUUUCUGACGCUGAGGCGCGAAAGCUAGGGGAGCAAACGGG
rnacentral:rRNA from 1 species